rnacentral:rRNA from 1 species
UGAGACGAGACGCUAAGGCGUUGAAGCAGUGUACGUCAGACUUCCAAGAAAAGCUCGCAAUGUCAUAAAUGAAAAAUGCCUGUACCAUAACCGACACAGGUGGGUAGGUAGAGUAUACUAAGGGGCGCGAGAUAACUCUCUCUAAGGAACUCGGCAAAAUGACUCCGUAACUUCGGGAGAAGGAGUGCCUUAUUUAUAAGGUUGCAAUAACAAGAUCCAAGCAACUGUUUAUCAAAAACACAGGUCUCCGCUAAGUCGUAAGACGAUGUAUGGGGGCUGACGCCUGCCCAGUGCCAGAAGGUUAAAGAAGUUGGUUAGUGUAUGCGAAGCUGAUGACUGAAGCCCUGGUGAACGGCGGCCGUAACAAUAACGGUCCUAAGGUAGCGAAAUUCCUUGUCGGGUAAGUUCCGACCCGCACGAAAGGCGUAAUGAUUUGGAUACUGUCUCGGAGAGAGGCUCGGUGAAAUAGACUUGUCUGUGAAGAUGCGGACUACCUGCACCAGGACAGAAAGACCCUAUGAAGCUUUACUGUAACUUGAAAUUGGAAUUGGACUUUGCUUGCGCAGUAUAGGUGGGAAGCGUUGAAGAUAUUCUUGCGGGAGUAUUGGAGCUAUCAGUGAGAUACCACUCUUGUAAUGUUAGAUUUCUAACUUUGAACCAUAAUCUGGUCAAAGAACAGUUUCAGGUGGGCAGUUUGACUGGGGCGGUCGCCUCCCAAAUGGUAACGGAGGCGUACAAAGGUUUCCUCUGAACGGAUAGAAAUCGUAUCUAGAGUGUAAAGGCAUAAGGAAGCUUGACUGUGAGACCUACAAGUCGAGCAGGGACGAAAGUCGGUCUUAGUGAUCUGACGGUACUGAGUGGAAAGGCCGUCACUCAACGGAUAAAAGUUACUCUAGGAUAACAGGCUGAUCUCCCCCAAGAGUUCACAUCGACGGGGAGGUUUGGCACCUCGAUGUCGGCUCAUCGCAUCCUGGGGCGGUAGUACGUCCCAAGGGUUGGGCUGUUCGCCCAUGAAAGCGGUACGCGAGCUGGGUUCAGAACGUCGUGAGACAGUUCGGUCCAUAUCCGGUGUAGGCGUUAGAAUAUUGAGAGGAGCCUUCUUUAGUACGAGAGGACCGAGAAGGACACACCGCUGGUGUACCAGUUAUCGUGCCAACGGUAAACGCUGGGUAGCUAUGUGUGGAGUGGAUAACCGCUGAAAGCAUCUAAGUGGGAAGCCCACCUCAAGAUGAG